UUAAGUUCAGCGGGUAUCCUUAUCUGAUCCGAGGUCAACCGUUAAAAAGACGAUCCAAAAGGACCGCUUCAGAAGACCGUCGGCCACUUCAAAUCAGAGCGUUAAUGAUUCCAUUCGCUCGAUUCCGUGGUAAUCGCGACGUCAUUAAUCCAUUUCGGACCUGUCCCGCCGAAGCAGAACUAGAAUCCAAUAAAAAGCCG
rnacentral:misc_RNA from 2 species